AACGAACGCUGGCGGCAUGCCUAACACAUGCAAGUCGAACGAGAUCUUCGGGUCUAGUGGCGCACGGGUGCGUAACGCGUGGGAAUCUGCCCUUUGGUUCGGAAUAACAGUUGGAAACGACUGCUAAUACCGGAUGAUGACGAAAGUCCAAAGAUUUAUCGCCAGAGGAUGAGCCCGCGUAGGAUUAGCUAGUUGGUGUGGUAAAGGCGCACCAAGGCGACGAUCCUUAGCUGGUCUGAGAGGAUGAUCAGCCACACUGGGACUGAGACACGGCCCAGACUCCUACGGGAGGCAGCAGUGGGGAAUAUCGGACAAUGGGCGAAAGCCUGAUCCAGCAAUGCCGCGUGAGUGAUGAAGGCCUUAGGGUUGUAAAGCUCUUUUACCCGGGAUGAUAAUGACAGUACCGGGAGAAUAAGCUCCGGCUAACUCUGUGCCAGCCGCCGCGGUAA
rnacentral:rRNA from 1 species